rnacentral:misc_RNA from 1 species
UCCGGCUUGACGCCGGCAGUCCCCCGAGAGUCCUCAGCAUGACCUGUUAGUAACACGGGGCAAGGGUUGCGCUCGUUGCGGGACUUAACCCAACAUCUCACGACACGAGCUGACGACAGCCAUGCACCACCCGUGUAGGGCCCCGAAGGACACCGUAUCUCUACGGCUUUUCCCUACAUGUCAAACCCAGGUAAGGUUCUUCGCGUUGCCUCGAAUUAAGCAACAUGCUCCGCUGCUUGUGCGGUCCCCCGUCAAUUCCUUUGAGUUUCAAUCUUGCGAUCGUACUUCCCAGGUGGGAUACUUAAUGCUUUCGCUCAGACACACACUGUAUAUCGCGUAUGUCGAGUAUCCAUCGUUUAGGGCGUGGACUAC